rnacentral:ncRNA from 1 species
UUGAUGUUUGAUUUCGGCUUGAUUCUUUUAUAAAAUCCUUUAAAUUGCAUGAAAAUUUUUAGUUGUGUGUUGCAUAACUGUAGAUUUUUAUAUCUAUAGGUAUUAUUUAAAUUUUAAGUUAUAACGUUUCAGUUCUCAGCAUGUUUUAUUAUUAAUUAAUAUAUGAAAAUAUGAACUAGAAAGGAUUUAGUUCUAGUAAAUUUUGUGCCAGCAUCUGCGGUUAUACUUGAAGGACGAGUAAAAGUUUUCGGUCAAAGUUAGGUGAAUAAAUAUGAACUUAAAUGUAUUACAGAUAAUAAAGGGUAAAAUUGAGUUAUUAUUAUGUAAAUGAAUAAGUUUUAAAUUGAAGCUAAAAAAAUUUAGGUAAAAACUAGGAUUAGAUACCCUAUUAUUUAAAAUUUAAAUUAUUAAUGAAGGCCCGGUUAGUAAUAGUUAUUUACUUAAAAACUAAAAGAUUUGGCGGUAAUUUAAUCUUUCCAGAGGAACUUGUUUUUUAAUCGAUAAACCACGAAAUAUCUUACUUGCUUUAGUUGAAAUUAGUUUGUAUACCUUCAUUAUCAGGUAAUUUUAAGAGAAUAAAUUAUUAAAAUUGCGUUUGCAAAAAAAUUAGAUCAUGGUGCAGCUUAUAGGCAAGUUUAAAUGAGUUACAAUAAAUUAUUUUAGACGGAUUUGUAGUUUAAACAUUACAAUCAAGGUGGAUUUGGUUGUAUUAUAAGUUUAAUAAGCUUGUAAGAUAUAGGCUCUAAAUUAUGUACAUAUCGCCCGUCGCUUUCAUUUAUAAGUGAAAUAAGUCGUAACAUAGUAGAUGUACUGGAAAGUGUAUCUAGAAUUAU